UACGUAGGGUGCAAGCGUUGUCCGGAAUUAUUGGGCGUAAAGAGCUCGUAGGCGGUUUGUCGCGUCUGCUGUGAAAACUCGGGGCUUAACUCCGGGCCUGCAGUGGGUACGGGCAGACUAGAGUGCGGUAGGGGAGACUGGAAUUCCUGGUGUAGCGGUGAAAUGCGCAGAUAUCAGAAGGAACGCCGGCGGCGAAAGCGGCGCACUGGACCUUUUCUGACGCUGAGGCGCGAAAGCCAGGGGAGCAAACGGG
rnacentral:rRNA from 1 species